CAGCAGCCGCGGUAAUACGGAGGGGGUUAGCGUUGUUCGGAAUUACUGGGCGUAAAGCGCUCUGUAGGCGGAUUAGAAAGUUGGGGGUGAAAUCCCGGGGCUCAACCUCGGAACUGCCUCCAAAACUGCUAGUCUAGAGUUCGAGAGAGGUGAGUGGAAUUCCGAGUGUAGAGGUGAAAUUCGUAGAUAUUCGGAGGAACACCAGUGGCGAAGGCGGCUCACUGGCUCGAUACUGACGCUGAGGUGCGAAAGUGUGGGGAGCAAACAGGAUUAGAUACCCUGGUAGUCCACACCGUAAACGAUGAAUGCCAGUCGUCGGGUAGUAUACUAUUCGGUGACACACCUAACGGAUUAAGCAUUCCGCCUGGGG
rnacentral:rRNA from 1 species